GGUUUCCCUCUUGGGCUAUUUUCUUUGGCUGUUCAAUUGUCCUCAACUGCGAAAGGUUAUAAAUACAGUUUAAUGCGAGCAAGCCCAUCUUCCAGUGAAUUUCCCAUGCCUCCCCAUGGUACUUAAUCAUCCGUCCCUCUCACCGCUGCAGACGGACACAAGAUGAAGUGUCCGUGUGAGGACCGAGCCGGCUCCCAGAGCCCGGGCAGCCGGCCUUCAGCCGUGAUCCUUCAGCUUCCAUGCGCUCUGCGGUUGGUUUGAGGCCUUCCUGCCUGUGGCAGGAACCUUUUGGGCAGCUGGGAAAUACGUCAAGGUUGGGUGGGUCCAGUUCAAAAUUCCCACGUGGAGAAACUAAGUCAGAGCAAGCUGGAGAUGGCUGACAUGCAAAUCAUUCUUUGCUAUCCUGACCUCUUUCCUCCGCGCACCUGCACAGUCACCUGCCUCAUUAACCAGGGUCUGGGGGGCUUAGGGAUAUUUGCAGAGCUGAUUUGAGGGCCUUCUUGUUUAGGCUGAUUUGCAAAUGGACCAGAGCGAGCUGGUGGAUCGGACCAAGCCUGCUCUGGGCCCCGACUCCUUGUCAGGUUACCGACCAGCUACUGAGCUGCGAGAAGCAGGGGCGAGGGGAAGCUUCAAACAGAUGAGUGCCCUCUGCUCCUGGAGGGAGCAUCUUCUCCGAGCCCUGCCCUGCUCUCUGCCCUUGUUUCCAAGGUCUCAUGAAGGUCUCCUGUCCAUAAGCCUUCCCGGAGAGCCGGCCCUGAACUGCCAGUCCUGAGCCUCCACCGAGCUGGACCCACCUGCAGCUUUUUGUGACCUUCAGAAUUCCAAGGUCAUGCAAAAAUGCCUCAUCCCCAAAGCCUCAAAGGGUCCCUGUUAGGAGCUCAGUGGAUGCCAGUUAGGCUGACAUCCCUCUGGCCUUUUAAUCCUUUGUCCUGUGAGAAGCAACUCUGGUCCUGGUCCCGGUCCCAAGAGAAGAUCUUUGUCCCACUUUCCCCAGGCCACCAAGUACCACACGUCUCUCCACGUCCCUCCAUGUCCCUCCUCUGUCCUGUCUCUUCCCACCGCGAUAACAGCAAACAUUCCCUGGGUCUCCAUAUCUCUCUUCUUGGUUGAUCCCAUGGCCUCUGUUCCAGAUGUUUGAGAAAGGAAGGUAGUGGGUGGGGCCAAAGCCACUGCCAUCAGAAUUUAGGGGACACGCUUUGUUGUGGUGUCAGAAGCCGUUCAGAGAAGGAAGGUGGUGGCUGGCUUCCAGCCCCCUCCCCUCUCAGCCCUGCAUCCAAGGUAAAAAGAAAUAUGGCAGGCUUAGGAUAAAGAAGGUUAGAGUUGGGGAUAUCUAACCCAACCAGGUUCCCUCCUACCUUAAAUCCCCUGCUUGUCUCUCCCAAGUUAGAGGGACUUAUGGUGGUAAAACUUUAUUUACUUCACAAAAAGUGUUGUCUUACAUUAAGUGAAAAUACGGUGGCCUGUAAUUUCUGUAGACUGUGCUGUGGGGUCAGGACCUUCUUUGUGAUCCCUUUCAGGGUCCUUGGGGACAAAUCGGAAUAGCAGAGACGGAGGUUUUAUGGUCGUUUGGCGUGUUCUGCUUCAGGGGAGAUACGCGGUGUCGCAAGACUGUGUGAAACCCCAGCUUUGCAGUAACGUGCCCGGUUACCCGUGUGCUGGAGUCGUGGGGGAGUUCGUCAGGGCUGCGCAGAACAGAGGUGAUCUGACCAGCACGGACCGAUCAAAAGCAGCCCCUCCUCUGUUUUGGAACGAAGACUUCCCUUACGGUCUCUGAAAUGGCAUUGAUCUUCCGGCUGGCUCCCUGACGUGCUGGCGUGCUGAGUUAACCACCAGCCGCCAUGAUCUCAGAAUAUCUUCUGUUCAGCCCCUUUUGUUAUUGUUUGUUGGUUUUACUGUUUUGUCAUGGGGGCUCAGACUUCUUUCCCCCUUCCCGGCCUCUUCGAGCUUGCCAAGAUCGGACCCGUUGUAUGGUUCUACAGAACUGCAGGCCCGCCGUCCAGAAAAGCCUCAGGCCACCUGGCCGGGCCACGUGUGAAUUGUGUUCAGUGGCUCCUCUGAGUAGGGGAGUCGGGCUGGAGGCUGUGACUGCAGACGCUGGGGGUCUUCCUGAAGCCGAGUCUGAGAUGGGCCACUGGCUUUACCACUUUGGGGAGAGCCGGAGAGAUACAGGGGACUCCAGGAUCACACCUAUCAGGACAAGGCACGGGAUGUCCAGACGGACAAUGCAGCUCUUUUCUUAACAGUUUUGAGUUGGGCCAUCUUCUAGGAAGGAGAGGACAUGCCGUCUAAUUCAAAAUGGUGAACUCCAAAAGGAUAGAAGACUUAAAUGUAAGACCUAAAACCAUGAAACUCCUAGAACAAAACAGAGGGGAAAGGAUCUUUGACUUUGGUCUUGGUGAUGAUUUCUUCUGGAUAUGACACCAAACACAUAGGCAACCCAAGCAAAAAUAAACUAGGGGGAUCAUAUCAGUUAAACAGCUCUACAUGGCAAUGGAAAGCUUUAAGACAACGAAAAGGCAACCUGCUGAGUGGGAGAAGAUAUUUUCAAAUCACAUAUACAAUAAGGGGUUAAUACCUGAAACAUACAAGGAACUCUUAUGGCUCAAUGACAAAUAAAUAAAUAAAUAACCUUAAAAAUUGGGCAAUGGAUCUGAAUAGACAUUUUUUCCAGGGAAGACAUACAAAUCAGCAGUAGUCAUAUGAAAAGCUGCAUAACAGCAUUCGGCAUCAGGGAAAUAAAAAUCAAAACCACGAUGAGAUCCCACCUCACACCUGUUAGAAUUGCUAAUAUUAACAACACGGGAAACAACAGGUGUUGCGAGGAUGUGGAGAAAGGGGAACCCUCUUAUGCUGUUGGUGGGAACGCAAACUGGUGCAGCCACUGUGUAAACAGUAUGGUGGGUCCUCAUAAAGUUAAAAAUAGAGCUACCCUACGACCCAGCAAUGGCACUUUUGGGGGUUUAACUGAGAGAAAUGAAAUCACGAUCUGAAGGAGAUAUCUGCACUCCCGUGUCCAUUGCAGCAUAACUCACAACAGCCAAGACAUGCAAACAGCCCAUGUUCACUGAUGGAUGGAUGGAUAGAGAAGAUGGGAGACACAUAUGAAUAUCACUCAGCCAUAAAAGAGAAGGAACAUUUGCAGCAACAUGGGGGAACCUGAAGGACAUUAUGUUAAGCUGGCUGAUGACGUUGUUAGGCCCGCCUGCGAUGCUGUUGUGGUCAGACUCCCUGGAGCCACCGUUUUUUGCAAGUGGGUGUUACCCAUUCAUUAAAGCUAUUCCUUGCUUAAGCUUCUGGAAAUAGAACCAAAAAAACCUUUGUAAUACGGAGAAGUGACCGUUGGUGACACCUGCCACCUCUUCGCUCCCAUCACCUUGUUGAAUCAGGAACAGGUGGGAGAAUUUCAAUUUCUGUUUCGGUAUAACUUUUCAAUACAAUAUAUUUUAUGAA